UAAUAAAAUUAUUUAUUUAUUAAAAUUUUAUUUAAUAAAAAUUUAAUUUAAAAUAAAUUUAAUAU
rnacentral:tRNA from 1 species